CGUGACACGAAUGGAAGUCGAGUAUCGUCUGUGUACACUUUUAUAUUUUGUGUAGUGGAAUUUUUAAUUAAGUUAUGAUUAAUCUUCUGACAUGAAUAAGCAUAAAAAUGACCAAGUGGGUUAAAUUUGAUAGCAAAUCAAAACAUGGUAUAGCUGUAUGCAAUUUUAAAGUUGAAAGAGUAGGAUUUUUGAAGUUAUUUAUUGGAGAUGUGGUACUCAUCUAUGAAGAAGGAGAUGAGUGGUACAGAGGUCAACUUUCAAAGGACAAAACUAAGAAGGGAAUCUUUCCUAAGAAAUUUGUUCGUCUUAAAGAAAUAGGCAUAAAAAAAACAGGUUCCUUAGAUUUAUCAGGAAGGAUUACUACACUAGAGCUGCCACUCAUUCAAGAGAUUACAACUGUACUUCGAGAAUGGCACAACAUAUGGAAGCAGCUUUUUGUGGAGAGAAGACCCGAACUUAUGUCUGUUCAAGACAUGAUGCAAGAACUAAUCGAUCAAAGGAGAAAAAUUAUGUCGAGAAAACUUACGGCGGAAGAACUAAGAGACAUUCAGCAGAAAAUUGCAACAAAAAUAGAUUUAGGAAAUGCCUUAUUAGGAUUAGACUUGGUUGUUAGAGAUGAACUCGGUAGUGUCUUGGAUCCUGACGUAACCAGUACAAUACAGUUGUUUAGACAGCAUGAAGAAGCCUCAGAAAGAAUAAAGUCAGAACAGGAGCUUGGUAUUAAGGACACGCAAAGAGAAAAAAUUGACAAAACUAAAGAUGAAUUGACUAGUAUGAAUUGGCCACAGACAUUUAACAUUUAUGUUAUGUUAAGGAACUUUGUUUGCAGAAUAGGUGAAGAUGCUGAUUUGUUGAUGAGUCUUUAUGAUGCUAAGCUGGGGAAAUUUAUCAGUGAAAACUAUGUUGUAAAAUGGGGUAAAGAAGGUGUUCCAAAAGAUAUAGACAACCUGAAUAACUUUAAAGUUGUCUUUACUGACCUUGGUAUUAAGGAUAGGCAAAGAGAAAAAGUAUUCCUAGUCAUUCAAGUGGUUAGAGUUGGUGUAAUGGAUCCAAAUGAUGUCAAUGAUAAGAAACAGACCAAAUGCUUAAGACGUCCAUUUGGAGUGGCAGCCACAGAAAUAACAGACAUAUUACAGGGUCUGAAAGAAGUUAAUGAAGAUAUGCAACAGUUUAUUCCAUUCCAACAACCAAGUGGGGAAGAGUUCAUGGAAUCUUUAAUCAAGAAAGUUGUCUCAGCUAAAGAAAUCAACCACAAAGGUCAAGGACUAUGGGUUUCACUUAAAAUCAUGAUGGGAGACCUCAAGCAGGCAAGAGAAGAACAUCCACAUUUAGUCACCAUGGCAACUACAGUAUCAAGAAAGAUGGGAUUCCCAGAGGUUAUCAUGCCAGGAGAUGUUAGGAAUGAUAUUUAUGUAACUAUCAAACAAGGAGAGUUUACCAGAGGUUCUAAAACAGCUGACAAAAAUGUGGAAGUAACUGUGUUAGUGUGCAAUAAACAAGGAGAACCAUUAAAGGAUGUUAUAAGUUAUGGCUGUGGGAAUGAUAUGACAAAUGAGUACAGAUCAUUGGUGUUCUAUCAUGAAGAUAAGCCUAAAUGGUUUGAAACUAUAAAGAUUGCCAUAUCAACAGAGGAGGAGUUUAAAGGUCUUCAUCUGAAGUUUUUAUUUAAACACAGGUCUUCCAGUGAAAGCAAAGAUAGAUCUGAGAGGCCAUUUGCCAUGUCAUUUAUUAAACUGCUGAACCAGAAAAAUGGUACAACAUUGAACGAUACAGACCACAAUCUACUAGUCUAUAAGAAUAAAAAUGACGGGAUAGAGAAAAAAGAUGAUAAACAAGCACCAUACUUAGAUCUGCCAUGUACUAGGGAUGACCUCGAAGAACAAGGCAUACACAAAGACAGUAAAGUGCCUCUGUUUAGUGGACCAUUCACUCUUAGUCAAAGAGAUAGCUUCCAGAUCAAUACAUUUGUUUGCUCUACAAAACUCACACAUAAUGUGGAUAUUCUAGGGUUGUUGAAGUGGCAGGAAUUAUUGAAUGAGUUGGAUCCAUCAGCACUUCGACUUCACUUAGAAAAACUGAUGCAUGUUGACGGAGAGGAAAUAGUCAAAUUUUUACAAGAUCUGUUGGAUUCCUUAUUUAGAAUAUUGAUAGAGAACACAAUAUCAGACACAUAUGAUAGUCAAGUGUUUGAAUGCUUGGUACAUAUAAUUGGUUUGAUAUCAGACAGAAAGUAUCACCAGUUCAGGCCAGUAUUAGAUGCUUACAUUACCGAUACCUUCAGUUUCCCUUCUGCUUACCAAAAGCUAACAACAUUACUCAGAGAAUAUGUAGAUAGAGCAACAGAAGUUAAUCAGAAGUAUCUGGUCAAGGCCAUGAAGUCAUUGGAAUAUCUGUUUAAAUUUAUAGUCAAGUCAAGGAGCUUAUUUAAUUUAUUGGAGGAGGGUAAAGGGAAAGUGGCCUUUGAACAAACAAUGAAACAUUUACUUCAUGCAAUAAGUGGUAUGAUGUUACACACCAGUGAUAACACACUACUAGCUCAGGGUUCAGCAUUGAAGUACAUGUGUUCAGCAAUAAAGGAUAUUGCUCAGGUGUUUGAUUUAGUAGAACUUAGUCGUUUAAUGGUUGAGUUUAUAAAUAAUGUGCCAAAAGAAAGAUUAACAAAACAGAAGUUGAAGUGUAUAGAUGACCUUGUACAUAGUGAUUUAUUUAAAUAUCCAGAAUGUCGUAGAAUUCUACUUUCCAUGAUUCUCUCUCACACCAAGUCACUGAUGGAAGAAAAAAAGGAGGAAUUGGAGGACUGUAUACUGGUACUUAGUGAUAUCAUGGAUGUCAUGUAUAGUAAAGAUUUUGGUUCUCAUGAGGAGGACAUAGAAGAAAUUAUUAGAAUGAAUUUAAGAACUAUCAUUCAGGCAGCCAUCAUUUUGGAGAGAAAAUCCAAAGUAGCAUCCUCAGCUGUGUUAUAUUGCAGGACAAGUUGUGUUGCUGUGUUAUUAAGUGUUUUAAGACAAAUGACAGAUAGACAUUAUAAAAUGUAUAUGGAAGAGUUUUCAUACACGAUAGACUUACGUGAUUUCCUAAUGGAAAUAUUAAUAUUAUUCCGAGUUCUGGUGGAAAAUACAGUGUUUCCUUCAGAUUGGGUAGAGAUGAUCAUGUUACAGAAUAGCAUAAUACUACGUGCCUUAAGAUUUUUUGCUCACACAAUUCAUGAAAAGUUUUCAACAGAUUUUGAGGAACAGUUAUGGAACUGUUUCUUUCAUUGUGCAAUAUCAUUCCUCACACAGAGAGCAUUACAGUUAGAAAUGUUCACACCAUCAAAAAGAACCAAAAUUAUAUCACGCUACAAAGAUAUGAGAAGAGAGGCUGGGUUUGAAAUUAGACACAUGUGGUUUCAUUUAGGACAAAAUAAACAAUAUUUUAUACCUGCAUUGGUAGGACCAAUACUUGAAAUGACAUUAAUUCCAGAACAAGAAUUACGAAAGGCUACCAUACCAAUAUUCUUUGACAUGAUGUCCUUUGAAUUCAAUGAGAUUGAUUCUACAACUGGAAAAAUCAAAGGAAACUUUUCUCAGGUUGAAAAUGAGUUAAUUAUGAAACUGGAUGCUUUAGUAGAAGGUGGAUGUGGGGAUGAAGAAUACAAAGAAAUGAUAUAUGUCAUAUUAUUACAGUUAUGUAAAGGUCAUUCAGCAAUGAUGGAAUCAGGAGUGAGAUUUGUGAAUACAAUCAAAGAAUUACUACAAAGACUAUUAGAAUAUAGGAAGAUUAUACAGAAUGAGAUUAAAGAACAUCGAAUGAGCUGUAUUGUUAAUCUGCUGAAUUUUUACCAUGAUAUUGAAAGACAGGAAAUGUACAUAAGAUAUCUAUAUAAACUUUGUGACCUUCACCUUGAAUGUGAAAAUUAUACAGAGGCAGCUUAUACUAUAAUGUUACAUGUUAAUUUACUUCAAUGGUCAGAUGAAUCCUUACCACCGAUGUUACAAUGUAAUUGGCAUCUAGAGGCACAGACACAGAGACAGCUCAAAGAAAUGUUAUACUAUGAUAUUGUAGGCUACUUUGACAAGGGAAAAAUGUGGGAAAAGGGUAUUCAGCUGUGUAAAGAAUUAGCCCAGUUAUAUGAACAAGAAUUAUUUGAUUAUGAACGUCUCAGUGUUAUACUUAGACGACAAGCAGACUUGUACAGUCAUAUCAUAUCAAAACUCAGACCAGACCCUGAAUAUUUCAGAGUUGGAUAUUUUGGCAGAGGGUUUCCAUCAUAUUUGCAAAACAAAGUAUUUAUAUACAGAGGUAAAGAUUAUGAAAGGUUACCAGAUUUUAAUGCCAGGAUGCAAACAUUAUUCCCUAAUGCAGAGUUGAUGAGAUCGUUGCAGCCUCCUUCAGAGGAGACAAAGGAAUCUGAUAAAGAAUACCUCCAGAUUAAUUCUGUCUCACCAGUGUAUGAUCUCCAUGGAAGAUUUGGCGAGAAGCAUGUUAGUGAGAGAAUUCAACAAUAUUUUACAAAAAAUGAAGUGAGUAAAUUCCAAUACUCUAGAAAGAUGGAGGAUUCUGGCGGUGAUGUAACUAGUUUGUGGUUAGAGAGAACCUUUUUAACAACAUCCUAUGAAUUUCCUGGCAUUUUAUGUUGGUUUCCUGUAAUAGCUGUUACAACAUAUCAAGUGAGUCCAUUAGAGAAUGCAUUUGACACCCUGGACACUACUAACAAGAAAAUCAACAAAGAAGUAGAGCAUCAUAUAUCAGAGCCCUCAGCUAAUGUACAAAACCUUAGUAUGUUGUUACAAGGUAUAAUAGAUGCUUCUGUCAAUGGUGGAAUCUCAAAUUAUAAAAUGUUUUAUAAUGAUGAUUAUGGAGAUUCCAUAGAGGAUAGAAAACUUGUCCGGAAACUAAAAGACUCAACCAGGCAUCAGUUGGUGCUGUUAAGAGAGGCAUUGAAUAUAUUUAAACGCAAAGCUCCAGAAGAUCUCAGACCUUUUAGUGCUCAUUUGGAACAGAAAUAUGAAGAAAUGUGUGUUCAAAUAAAACAGGAAUAUAGCCUUAAAGCUCCUGACAAUACCUCAGUGAAUACAUUGAAGAGAUACAAGUCUAUGUCAGCUGUCAGUCUGAGUCGAGUCAGUGAAGCUUUCUAUUCAUCACAGAGUACCAAUGAUCUGAACCGACUUAGAUCAAAUUAUGCCACACCAGUGAUACGUACACCAGCCACCCGUACACCAUCAGUGUUCGUCAAAGCUGACAGAUCAAACAGUAUAUCACCGAACAAGGGAGCAAAAGUCAGCAACUUAUUCAAACGCACCUCAUUUGCUGCUUCUGAUCAGAGUAGCGAAGGGGGUAGCAGUAAUCGUAACUCGCUUGAACAACCUAUUGAGUUAACUGAGCAGAUGGGUCCAUGGAGUAAUAUACCAAUAACACCAAGACGUCCACUGCGACCAGAUGCCAAUGACCGCAGACAGAAUCGACCAGGCAGUAAUCAGUUUGCCCCAUCAACAUUGUCAUAUCUUAAUAAUGCAGGCAGCAACUCAUCUUUGAUAGAUAACAACAGUGACACAGAUACAUCGGAUGAACCUCCGCCAUUACCUGACAAGUGUGCCGAUUCUACAACUCCCAUUGAGACACCACCAAUACACAAUCGACAAGCUGGUCACAGAAAGUCUAAGGUAAACAGUAUAUUCACAUUUCGUCGUAACAGCAAGUUACAUGUGACAAUAGACAGCAGGUUACAUGGGACAGAUCAUAUCCUCACAAAGAAGGAAGAAAAGGGACGCCGCAAAGAUAAACAUUGAAUUUUAUUGAUUUAUUAUUUUCAUGUCUAAUUAUGUUAUGUUUCAUGAAUUAUUAUUUUUUAGGAAAACUUGUUUUUUGGUGUGUUUUUUUUCAAAAUGUAUUUGAGUGUCUAACAAGUACCAUACAUUGCUUAUUUUUGAUAUCUGUUGCCUUAUGAUUUUGUUUGCUGUAUCAGUAAAAUUACAUGACAUACAUUAAAUAUGUACAUCACUUUAAUGUACAAUGUAGAAUGCAUAAUUUAGAAUAAAGGUUUUUGUUUGUUUUAUCCUUCAUUCUGAAUAAAAAAAAAGAAGCUUGUUACUUGAUCAUUUCAAAACUCUGAAGAAAUUUUUCAAAGAGAAAUGAGCACUCAGGUACGAUACACGAAAUACAUACAUGACUGAGGUAAACAUGUCAACCUUGUCAACACUUUUCUUUAACAUUUGGAAGGAGUUAAAAUAUUACUAUCUUCAAUCAUGUAAUCAUAUAUUUUUUUUAAGAUUUUUAUUCAAACAUACUUGAUAUUGAUCAAUUGGUGAUUAAAAUCUUUAAAAUACAUAAAAUUCACUAAAAGCAUAUACCCAUACAAUUAUAGAAAAAUUCUUUCACAACAUUUUACUCAUUCAGGUUCAUAAUUUUACCUGAUGGUAAAGCCAUCUUACUUCCUUAAGAGUCUAUAUAGAGCCAGCUUAAAAAAAGAUACUAAGGUCUUACAUGUUUCAAAUUUAAUUUGCAAUAUGAACAUGAAGAUUUAGGAAAGCAUGUUUUAAGUACAGAUGAUGUAUAACUUGUUUAUAAUGAAAACAACUUUAAUUUAGAUUCCUUCCAUGUAUUUAAACAUCAGGUAAAUCUAUGAAAGGGUAUUAAAGGGUAAAUAUAUAGAAACAAAAUAUGGCAAGUUCUUGAAAUAGAUGGUAUAUAGAAUGUCAAAGAAGGAAAAUAGCUUGAAUGUUAAAUAAAUCUGAUGUUUAACAUUUGGAAAUUAGCUAUUUAACACCAAUUCCAAUUAAAAUUUUGCAAAAUAGUUUAUGUUUUCUUUAUAUUGUUUUAUCCCCAACACAAAUUAACAUUGCAUUGAACAUUCAAUACUUUUAUUUUCUUUCAUCUUUGUAUGUAGCAUGUAUUUCAUUACUUCAAAACUUUUUCACAUUAAAAAGCUACUUAUGAUCUUCAUGUAUGCACAUAACAUCAUCUUUUUUUUAUCUAUAAAGUUAAAUAUAUCUUAAUACAAUUUUUUGUUUGCAAUGCAUAUGCAUUAUUAUGUAAAUAUUAAUACAUAAUACAUCUCAUUUCAAUGCUCGCACUACAUUGUAACAGCAUGUGUGAAUGCUCUUCUUUCUCUUUUCAGCCUAUACCUCCACUUCCAAAUGAAGGAGGAUCGCCACCUCCUGUGCCUAAAAAAUCUUCAACACCGAACUGCAAGUGAUUCAACUGCCGCAUGGUGGGUUGUCUUUCUUUGAAGAACUCUUCAGUCUUGCCUUAUAUGAUGGAAUGACUUUAUAUAUAUGUGAAUGACUUCUGAGGGCAUAUUUUUUUUCUUUUUCAAAUAUUGAUAGAUGAUAUAGAACUGUUUGAAAAAAAAAUGGAAAUGAAGGAUUUUCUAAAAAUAUUGAUAUUAAGUUUGUGGAUGUUGAAAUAAAACGAACAUUUUAUUAUACAAUUUGUAUUAUAAUGUUAACUUUAAAAGACUAGACUUUUUCUGAUGUGCAGAUAUAAGGAUGGAAAUGUAAUUUGAUAUCCUAAAUGUUUAUUAUCAGUAAGCAGUUUUAAACUUUAAUAUUGUAGAAUAUCUUUAAAUGUCUUUUUUUGAUACAGGUGGAAAAUAUUUAAUGAUCUUAGCAAGAAUAAUGCUUAUUUGCUUCUUUUUGCAUUCUUUCUUCUUUCUUUUUUCCUUCGUUUUAAGGUAUUUGAAUUAUAUGUCAACUUUUGUUGGUGACAUUUAGUUAAAUUCCAUUGAUCUAGAUUUUUGUAGCAAAUAUAUAAACAAAAAGAUAACCAAUAUCUCACAGUCACUGAAUAAAGAUUUAUUUCAUUAUUCAAAUCCUAUUUUUCCAAAGACAUAAUUUGGGUUACAUUAAGGUGUUUUUUAACAAACAAAAAAUAUAUAUCGUCCCUCUUUGAUGAAAAAAGGAAAAUAAAUGGAUACCAUGAUUUUUUCUCUGAAGACAGCUGUAUAGAUAUAAGGAGAAAGAUAACUGUUGCCUUGCAGUAUAUUCUCAGAGGAUGGUUACACAAUUAUAAGAAAAGAUUUGAGUGGCCUUGCACUCUAAUUCUGUGAUAAGGAUGUGUUCAUUUUUACUGGAGUCAUUUUGAUAAAUUUUAUGCUGUUAUUGUUGUAGCUAUUUGUUAAUUAUCAUUAAUUAUGUAAUUAUUCAACAAUGAGAUGUUUAUAGUUUUGAUUGAUAUUUGUGAAGCAGGAAACAUAUGAUAUUUUUUCAAUCAUGGUUUUAUUCAGACAAAUCAAAAUUUAUUGUCGUUUUCAGCUAUGAAAAUUAAAUUUUGACAAUUUUUUUUUAACAAACAAAUAUAAUAUGUUGUUAAAAAAUGAUAUUUUUAGAAAUAACAGCUUAAAGGAAGUAAGGGUAACACCAAUCAGGGUAAUAACCCAUGGCUGUACUGUCAAAUGUCAGGCAUACUGUAGAUUCAGAAAUUAUAGAGAUAUUUUUAUUAAUGACAGUAACGUGACUGGCUGAGUACCACAAUAAUAAGAAUUUGCAAUAAUAUGAUAUCUAAUACAUAUAUUUCAAUUCAGACUUUCAUGAAAUCGCAAUAAUAUAUCGUACACAAUUAUUUUUGAACUUACAGUAACUAGAACCAUAUCAGAUUAUCACUGUUACAGAAAUAUGAACGGUUUGUUGAUUAUACCAAUAGCUAAUUAAAUGUAGAGGUACUUCUCUUUGUCUAGUGGCAAUGCUAGAUCCUUGAUCAUGUAAUUAAGAAUAUAAAAUUAUUAAUAAAAUUUCCUUCUUUUUGUAUAUACAAUGGUUUCCUGCUUCACAUUUAUCUGUUUCAGUAGAUUUUUUUUAUAUAUAAAUAAGUCAAGUAUUUGACCAAUUAUUUUUAAUAUGCUGCUGUGUAUAUGGUGCUUUUACAUUUAUUUGCUAAUAUAAAUAUACAUUUUGUAAAUUAUUGUAAAAUUUCUAAAAUUUAUUCUAUUGUAUAUGUUACAAGCAUUGCUGAAACUUUUUGUAAUGUUAAUGUAGUCAGACUCCAGAUUAAGAACUGUUCCAGGGAUCCAUGAUUUUUCAUAAUUUUUCCUAUGUACUUUCCAAAUUUUAGUGUCAUUUCAUGAAUUUUUGUGUAAUCUUCAGCCAUACUUUCAUAUAAAUCACCUUAUCAUGGCUAUCCUCAUGUUGAACUAUUUGAUAGCUUUAUUUUAGUGUGUUCCUUUAAUAAUGUUAACUUUUAAAUUAAUAAUCAGGAGGAACUAAGUCUUUUUCAAUUGAAGCUCAAAUAAAAUUAUAUUUACACAAUCUUCUUUUCUUAAAUCAUUGUAAAUAUUUAUGGUCAAAUAUAAUCAGUUGUAGUGCAGAGCAUUCUGAAUUUUGAAAAAUAUUUAACAUUCGUAAUUCUGUCCUGAUUGAUAUCCUGAAAGGUCAUUGAAAAUAAAACAUGGAUUUUAUGUAAAUAUUUCAUAACCUCAAUUUCAUAAUCUGACCCUCAGACUGAAUUAUUUAGUACACUGCUUCAUAAAGAAGUGAGAAAGGUGGAUGGGAUAUCAUAUUUAGUUCUAGUAAUACUUGGUUCAAGGUCUCAAAAUUCUGUACAAAAAAAUGCCUUACUUCAGAAAAUAUAUGAAAUAACAGUUUUUUUGUUUUUCAAGCUGCUCAUUCCAUUUUAUUUUGAAUUUUCAGAUAAUGUAUAACAAUCUCAUCUAUACAUCUUUGUAUUCCUUUUCAUGUAAAAGACUUUAGUGUUAAUUGAUGAUUUUAUCUAGUCAUUUUUGUUCUUAUGAUGUGUGUUUGUGACACCAUAGAUUAAGAAAAAAUAAUUUCAUUAAAAGUAAAAUUACAUAUUUCUAAAUUUUAUUUUUGCAUGACAAAAAGAUUUCUAUCAAACCUAUACUAAGUUAGACAUUGAAUUAGCAUUAAAAAUAGUUUUCUUCAUUUUAUACUCACCACAAUCAAAUUCUAUUUUAAAACAGGACAAACCAAGCAUACUUAAAUUACAAGUAGGGGAAUAUAUCCUUAUUUUAAUGUUUUGCCUGUUAUGCUGCAUAAUACAAAUCUUGUCAGAAUUAUUUUGCCAGUAUUUUUGUCCCCACCCUAACCAUUACUUACUAAUUUGCAAGAAUAUUUCUGUGCAUCAUUUGUUAUAGCUUAUUAUUACUGUUAUGUUAUUAUUUUUGUAUAUUCUGAAAUCAUUUUAUGACAGAGACACUGUAAUAAAUCUUUAAUACUGA